GCCGACGCAUUUCCCUUCCGCCUCGGACGCCGCAGCCCGUCGGUUGGGCGUGGCUCCCUGCUGGCGCCGGUCGCCGUGGUCGAUGGCGAGUCCCGCGGGGAAGAUUGGCUAGCGGCGAGCAGGUCGGUAACCCACCGGACCCGUCUUGAAACACGGACCAAGGAGUGCGACGUGCGCGCGAGUCGGCGGGUCUUGUCCAGGCCCGAAGGCGCAGAGAAAUUAACGCCGAGAUCCCGGGGGCGCAUCGGCGACCUGGGCGGCGUCCGAGCGCGUAGGUCGCGACCCGAAAGAUGGUGAACUAUGCUCGGGCAGGUUGAAGUCAGAGGAAACUCUGAUGGAGGACCGCAGCGGUUCUGACGUGCAAAUCGAUCGUCGGACCUGAGUAUAGGGGCGAUAGACUAAUCGAACCAUCUAGUAGCUGGUUCCCUCCGAAGUUUCCCUCAGGAUAGCUGGCGCUCAUUGAGUCGUUCACUGUCAAGCGAA
rnacentral:rRNA from 1 species